AGGUUUAAUUAAUUUAUAGCCACACCUUACUUCCCUGGUAUUAAUUUGCCUGCAGAUGAGUAUGGUGCCUUUAGUCUCUCAUCUACUCUGAAGGCUGUAGGAGAUGCUUUGGACUUCUACAGGACAGUCUCAGCAAGAGGACCAUGCUGAUGCUUUCUAAAUGAAAAGAAGGCAAGCUACCAUCUCUUCACACUUAAAGAGCUCCCAGGAGCAAAGGGAGAAUGAGAUAACGAGACCAAGUGCUCUUACAAUGAACCUUGGAGGACAGCAAGCCAAGAAGGAAGCAUGUCCUUUACCCAUAUCCCCAAACACUGUGAACAUCCAAGUGGAAAGUUCCACCCCAGCUGUCUGGAGACCCAGCAGCAGCAGGACUUGGACCCUUCUUUUUAACCUGUAAAUUGACACAAAUGGGCAAAUUAUGGACUCAGCAGGAGGGAUUAUGCCUGAGGCAGGCAAGAUGUAACUCACGCAGAAAAAGCAGUGAGAAGGGGAAAACUCAGUGCCUGCGCUUCUUGCCCAUUUUCUCUUUCCCAAGUCAAGAAGCAACACCUAUCUGAAAUUGUGGUUGCCUCAGCAAGGCACAAAUUCUGUGGCUGGCCAGGUCCUGCAGGCAGGGGAAGAAGCCAUGUGCUGAAUCAGCUUGCUGGAGGCCACCUGGCUCACGUGCCAGAAGGUGCCAGCUCCAAAUGUAAGGCUUUCAAGCUAGAAAAUCUCAGACACUUGACAAUGUGCUUGUAUAUACAGAAAAUGCCUGUGACAGCUAGAGUGCUAGAUAGACCUUAAUAAGAAUCGUUCCUAAACCCAAAUGUUCAGAGAUAUUAGUCCAAAGGAAGAAUCAUGUGUCUGAGAGAAGAAAAAAAAAACUAAACCAAAAAACAAGUCUUGCUGGUACUAACCCCUUCCUAUUAAAAGACGUUUGGAAACAAAGCCUGAAA